GUUUUAGAUACAGAGACAGUGUAACAGCAUGGCUGCUGCGACUGAAAAAGACACAGUAUGGAUCGGGUUCAUGGACAUCGUUCCGGUCAUCGGGACGGUAAAAGAGGCAGUGGAGCUGGUGCUGGCUCUGUAUGAAGGGAAUAAAGAGGUGAUAAAGGAGAAAGAGAAGGCCAUUGAAAGCAUUGUGAAAGAGUCAUCAAAAAUACAUGAGAAGGAAAACUAUGUGAAAAAGUUGACUCUAGCUGAUAAACCAGUAGCAGCAGCAGCUGCAGAUGAAUUUUCUGGACUCAGAAAUGUGAGAGAGGUCAGAAAGGAAAUGAUUAUUGAAUAUAUGGCCAAAGGUUCCAAAAGGGGAACAAAACCUCCAACUCCAGCUGAGCAGAAAGAGAGACAGAAAAGAGUGGAGGCCAUUAGGAAAGACACGCUAGAAAAGAUCCGUAUCAUCGAACCAAACUUCAAAGAAAAACGAAUGGAAGAAAUAAAGGAAGAACUGCAAAGGUCGAAAAGAGUCUACGAGGAUAUGAUCAGCUGGAAAUGAAUGAAUUAGGCAGACACACACUUCAUCCAGACACAGCAGAAAAUAUUCAGACAAAAAUGGUGGUUCACUUUGGUGAGGAUGAAUUCUACGUGAAUGCGAAUGCAGUGUUGUAUGGUGAAUAUUGCAGAGCACUGCAUGAAGCUAUGUUAGUUGUGCUGGGCCACAUAAACCCAGAUGACGUGAUACAAGAGGAGAAACAAAAGGUGACAGAAGAGGAGAGAAAAAAGAUAGAAGAGGAGAAACAAAGGGUGAAUAAUAUCAUAGAUAAUAUGAAUGAGCAUGAGAUCUAUGUGGACCAACUGGCAAAGGUCAAGUGGAUUAAAGAGAAUAGAGACAACCGGUUUAAAAAUGUAAAACAGGAAGUUGUGAACAUGUAUAACAAAGAUUGUGGGGUUGAGUGGUGCAUUCGCAUUCUGCGUAAAAUUGCACCUUUGUUUGGACUUACACUGGGUUCCAAAUUAUCAAGCAAGUGAUAUAUCAAUAGGAUUUCGGUACAAUAAAAAGUCACGUUUUUGUUUGUGUUGUUAUUGU
ensembl:lncRNA